AUGUCCAUGAUUGUUUAUUUCCGUGCAGAGAAUUGCCAGAAAGGAGCUUAUAGGCAGCCAUUUUGUUUCGACGCUUGGUGCAAGGGGCUUUGCUGGACGAAGGCGGCUCUCGUCGAGGGCGGCCAUGUCAAAGACGCCUGGUGUUACAAAACACCAUUGGAUGCCAUUUGUAUUUGUUUGUUCUGCAGGAAAUGA
rnacentral:rRNA from 1 species